GAUGAACGCUGGCGGCGUGCCUAAUACAUGCGAGUCGAGCGAACAGACGAGGAGCUUGCUCCUCUGACGUUAGCGGCGGACGGGUGAGUAACACGUGGAUAACCUACCUAUAAGACUGGGAUAACUUCGGGAAACCGGAGCUAAUACCGGAUAAUAUAUUGAACCGCAUGGUUCAAUAGUGAAAGACGGUUUUGCUGUCACUUAUAGAUGGAUCCGCGCCGCAUUAGCUAGUUGGUAAGGUAACGGCUUACCAAGGCAACGAUGCGUAGCCGACCUGAGAGGGGGAUCGGCCACACUGGAACUGAGACACGGUCCAGACUCCUACGGGAGGCAGCAGUAGGGAAUCUUCCGCAAUGGGCGAAAGCCUGACGGAGAAACGCCGCGUGAGUGAGGAAGGUCUCGGAUCGUAAAACUCUGUUAUUAGGGAAGAACAAAUGUGUAAGUAACUAUGCACGUCUUGACGGUACCUAAUCAGAAAGCCACGGCUAACUACGUG
rnacentral:rRNA from 1 species